CCUAAUAGUAAUUUCUAGUAAUACAUGGUGUACAUAAAAUGAAGUACAUUCAAGUAUUGAAGAUGAGGAACAUAGGGACACACCUCCAAUACACAUUAAAUGUUAAAAUUGGUACACACACAAUUAAAGUCUCAUACACAAUCAGACGUCACUUAUGUCCCUCCCACUGAUACAAAAUCAAAGUCAUUAGCCACACCCACUAAUAGAACUGGAGGGGGCGGAGCUCCAAAAACAUUGGCUGACUUUCAAAAAUUGACAAGUCGUGGAAAGCAAUCACCAGCUGGUCAACCAACCCAAUCAAACAGACCAAAAGUAAAUUAAUAAAAAAUCAGUGAGACAUACUGUUGACCUGAGGGCCGAAGCCAUAGAAGAGAACAUGUUACUAGCAGUUGAAUCAUUUCGAGCUAUUGGUUGCUCUGUUACUGAUAAUAUGGUGGAGGAACUAACAAGAGGAGACAAAGGAACAAUUGAUAAACUAAUAAUAGAAUUAAUUAAAUCUCGUGUAGUCCAUAUAU